rnacentral:rRNA from 1 species
GCUUGCUGCUUCGCUGACGAGUGGCGGACGGGUGAGUAAUGUCUGGGAAACUGCCUGAUGGAGGGGGAUAACUACUGGAAACGGUAGCUAAUACCGCAUAACGUCGCAAGACCAAAGAGGGGGACCUUCGGGCCUCUUGCCAUCGGAUGUGCCCAGAUGGGAUUAGCUUGUUGGUGGGGUAACGGCUCACCAAGGCGACGAUCCCUAGCUGGUCUGAGAGGAUGACCAGCCACACUGGAACUGAGACACGGUCCAGACUCCUACGGGAGGCAGCAGUGGGGAAUAUUGCACAAUGGGCGCAAGCCUGAUGCAGCCAUGCCGCGUGUAUGAAGAAGGCCUUCGGGUUGUAAAGUACUUUCAGCGGGGAGGAAGGGAGUAAAGUUAAUACCUUUGCUCAUUGACGUUACCCGCAGAAGAAGCACCGGCUAACUCCGUGCCAGCAGCCGCGGUAAUACGGAGGGUGCAAGCGUUAAUCGGAAUUACUGGGCGUAAAGCGCACGCAGGCGGUUUGUUAAGUCAGAUGUGAAAUCCCCGGGCUCAACCUGGGAACUGCAUCUGAUACUGGCAAGCUUGAGUCUCGUAGAGGGGGGUAGAAUUCCAGGUGUAGC